rnacentral:rRNA from 1 species
UACGUAGGGUGCAAGCGUUAGUCCGGAAUUAUUGGGCGUAAAGAGCUCGUAGGCGGUCUGUCGCGUCUGCUGUGAAAACUCAGGGCUCAACCCGGACUUGCAGUGGAUACUGCCGGGCUAGAGUCCGGAAGAGGCGAGUGGAACUCCUGGUGUAGCGGUGGAAUGCGCAGAUAUCAGGAAGAACACCAACGGCGAAGGCAGCUCGCUGGGACGGUACUGACGCUGAGACGCGAAAGCGUGGGGAGCGAACAGG